rnacentral:lncRNA from 13 species
AUAGAAAAUGAAUGAACACACAAAACCCUACUAUGUUUACCUCAAUUGGCCCCUUGGUACCCGGGUUGUCGCAUCCGCUCUUGUGCAGAUAGAGAACUGCAUGGCAACGGAAGGACGCUUGGAGAUAGAAUGAGGGGAGGGUACUAUGGUCCCACGUGUCCUCAUCACCGCAGACCCAACGCAAUUCUGUUCAUUUUCUAUCUACCAUUUCCACAUACCGCAGAUUCGCAUACACUCAUGCAUACAUACAGCUUACACACGCACAAUCAUGUAGGAUGUAUGCAUACGUGCACUCAAAUAUCCCCAUUUGACCUAUUCUACAUAAUCUAGGCUAAUUUGCCAAUUCCAAUAUUGAUCGGCUCUGUCAUAGGCUAUUAGGCCUGUUUCUUUUUUCAUUUGGUGAUAGGCUAUUUAAUUCAAUUGCCUGAUAUCGGUGAGACUGUAUGCUACGAGUUGAAUGGGGAGAUGAGAGGACGAGCGUCAGCUGUCAACCAGAUUCAUUCGGUGUUUUCUCUCUCUCGCCAUAAUCGUUUGAGCGUCGGUUUUCUUUUUAUCUGCGCCUGUUACAUUGUAACGCACUCGAUGUUAAUUCGGGGGAAUAUGUGAACAUCAUGCUGGCGGUGUGGUGCUUGGUCUUUGCUGCAGUGGGCGAGAGGCUUGCCGUGUCAGGCGACGGCAGGUCGACUUUGCUGCGGGAUGCGAGUUUGUGGGAUUGGUUCUCGCCAGAGGAGCGGGGAGACAGCAGCGACAUUGCGGUCGAAGUCGCCUAUCCAAAGCGGCUGGUGCAGCAGAUGGAGUCGGAGGAAGAAAUGUCCCACGGCUAUUUGGAUACUCGCAUGAAGAAUACCACGGGAGGUACCCCCGUAAGUAUAGACCACUGUCUGCAAUGGAGAAGUGGGUGUGGCAACCCGUUCUUAUUGGGGUGUUAUUUAUUCGUUUUCGUUCUCUCUCUUGCAUUAAAUUCCCAGUUCAUUGUUGACACUGUCAUAGUUUCUCCCCACCCAAAUUACUCGUGCGAACCCUGUCUUGCCUGUUUUGGCCUGUCUCUUGUUUUCAAGUGUGAUAAGAUCCAUCCCAAACUGCACAAGUCUAUCAUCAGUCCCAUAAUGCCCUAACUUCCACUCUGUGACUGUGCUGUGCUGUGCUGUGACAGCUGUGCUGUUCUUACUCCGAACCUUCAGCUUGCGUGUAUAUACACUGAACAAAAAUGUAAGCGCAACAUGUGUGUUGGUCCCAUGUUUCAUGAGCUGAAAUAAAAUAACCCAGAAAUGUUCCAUAUGCACAAAUAGUUUAUUUCUCUCAAAAUUUGUGCACACAUUUGUUUACAUCCCUGUUAGUGAGCAUUUCUCCUUUGCCAAGAUAAUCUAUCCACAUGACAGGUGUGGCAUAUCAAGAAGAUGAUUAAACAGCAUGAUCAUUGCACCUUGUGCUGGGUACAAGAAAAGCCACUCUAAAAUGUGCAGUUUUGUCACACAACACAAUGCCACAGAUGUCUUAAGUUUAGAGGGAGCGUGCAAUUCACAUGCUGACUACAGGAAUGUCCACCAGAGCUGUUGCCAGAGAAUUUAAUGUUAAUUUCUCUACCAUAAGCCGCCUCCAAUGUCAUUUUUAGAGAAUUUGGUUGUACGUUCAUCUGGCUUCACAAACGCAGUAUUUGCGUUGUGUGGGUGAGUGGUUUGCUAUUAUCAACGUUAUGAACAGAGUGCACCAUGGUGGUGGUGAGAUGAUGGUAUGGGCAGGUAUAAGUAACGUACAGUCAACGAACACAAUUGCGUUUAUGGAUGGCAAUUGGAAUACACAGAGAUACCGCGAUGAGAUCCUGAUGCCCAUUGUCGUGACAUUCAUCUGCUUCUGGAAGCUGAAAAUAAAUGUCCCAGUUCUUUCAUGGCCAACAUACUCACCAGACAUGUCACCCAUUGAGCAUGUUUGGGAUGCUCUGGAGUCUGGAUCAACAUGUACAACAGCGUGUUCCAGUUCCCGCCAAUUUCCAGCAACUUCACACAGGCAUUGAAGAGGAGUGGGACUACAUUCCACAGGCCACAGUCAAUAGCCUGAUCAACUCUAUGCGAAGGAGAUGUUUUGCAUUGCAUGAGGCAAAUGGUGGUCACACCAGGUAUUGGCUGGUUUUCUGAUCCACGCUUCUACCUUUUUUUUAUAUAUAUCUGUGGCCAACAGAUGCAUAUCUGUAUUCCCAGUCAUGUGAAAGCCAUAGAUUAGGGCCUAAUGAAUUUAUUUCAAUUGAUUGAUUUCCUUAUAUGAACUGUAACUCAGUAAAUCUUUGAAAUUGUUACAUAGUGCAUUUAUAUUUUUAUUUUGUGUACUUUAUAUAUUUAACUGUAACCAAUGGUAUUACACCCUAUGUUGGGGCACAAUAUAUGGGACUUGAACCCAAAACCUUCUGACCAACUGCACUCACCCACUAUGUCACCCCAUGCCACAGAUUCAGAAUUACAGUCCACCGGAGAGAAGAGUAUCUGAAAGAGAUCUGAAACAGAAGCCUGUUGUGUGAAUGUGAUUUUAUCUGCUUGGCCUCAUGAUAAAAGGCUCUGUGGGGUGAAAUAUUCAGAUCUCUCAUGGAGAGCUCCUAUCUCCUUCAUUCCUCUAUUAUUCAAUGGUGUGUUGAAGUAAACUCAGAAAAAAAGAAAUGUACUCUCACUGUCAACUGCAUUUAUUUUCAGCAAACUUUGUACAAAUAUUUGUAUGAACAUAACAAGAUUCAACAACAGACAUAAACUGAACAAGUUCCACAGACAUGUGACUAACACAAAUGGAAUAAUGUGUCCCUGAACAAAGCGGGGGGUUAAAAUCAAAAGUAACAGUCAGUAUCUGGUGUGGCCACCAGCUGCAUUAAGUACUGCAGUCCAUCUCCUCCUCAUGUACUGCACCAGAUUUGCCAGUUCUUGCUGUGAGAUGUCACCCCACUCUUCCACCAAGGCACCUGCAAGUUCCCGGACAUUUCUGGGGGGAAUGACCCUUGCCGUCACCCUCCGAUCCAACAGGUCCCAGACUUACUCAAUGGGAUUGAGAUCUGGGCUCUUCACUGGCCAUAGCAGAACACUGACAUUCCUGUCUUGCAAGAAAUCAUGCACAGGACGAGCAGUAUAGCUGGUGGCAUUGUCAUGCUGGAGGGUCAUGUCAGGAUGAACCUGCAGGAAGGGUACCAAAUAAGGGAGGAGGAUGUCUUCCCUGUAACGCACAGCAUUGAGAUUGCCUGCAACGACAGCAAGCUCAGUCCGAUGAUGCUGUGACACACUGCCCCAGACCAUGACGGACCCUCUACCUCCAAAUCGAUCCUGCUCCAGAAUACAGGCCUCGGUGUAAGGCUCAUUCCUUCGACGAUAAACGCGAAUCUGACCAUCACCCCUGGUGAGACAAAACCGUGACUCGUCAGAGAAGAGCACUUUUUGCCAGUCCUGUCUGGUACAGCGACGGUGGUGUGUGCCCAUAGACAACGUUGUUGCCAGUGAUGUCUGGUGAGGACCUGCCUUACAACAGGCCUACAAGCCCUCAGUCCAGCCUAUUUCGGACAAUCUGAGCACUGAUGGAGGGAUUGUGCGUUCCUGGUGUAACUUGGGCAGUUGUUGUUGCCAUCCUGUACCUGUCCCGCAGGUGUGAUGUUCGGAUGUACCGAUCCUGUGCAGGUGUUGUUAUACGUGGUCUGCCGCUGCGAGGAUGAUCAACUGUCUGUCUUGUCUCCCUGUAUCACUGACUUAGGCGUCUCACAGUACAGACAUUGCAAUUUAUUGUCCUGGCCACAUCUACAGUCCUCAUGCCUCCUUGCAGCAUGCCUAAGGUCAAGUUCACUCAGAUGAGCAGGGACCCUGGGUAUCUUUCUUUCGGUGUUUUUCAGAGUCAGUAGAAAGGCCUCUUUGUGUCCUAAGUUUUCAUAACUUUGACCUUAAUUGCCUACCGUCUGUAAGCUGUUAGUGUGUUAACGACUGUUCCACAGGUGCAUGUUCAUUAAUUGUUUAUGGGUCAUUGAACAAGCAUGGUAAACCCUUUGCAAUGAAGAUCUGUGAAGUUAUUUGGAUUUUUACGAAUUAUCUUUGAAAGACAGGGUCCUGAAAAAGGGACAUUUAUUUUUUCACUGAGUUUAUGUCCCCCUCAAUGAUUCAACAGGCCUGUGUGAGAAGUGCUACUUGGGCUAAAAUCUCCACUGGUACAAAAUCCCCCUAUUUUUUUUCCCCCUUUUAUCUCUACCUCACCCUCCAACCCCUUUCUUAAAAAAAAAAAAAUCAUACACCCGCUCUCUUUCUCUGAAGAGGAAGUUGUAAGUGGGAUUGAGGGUGUGGUUCUAUGUAUGUCUAUGUCUAUCAGUGGGACACCAGAGAUCAAUGAGUUAACAAGAUAACUCACUUAAAUAUUCGGAAAUACAGUGCCUUGCGAAAGUAUUCGGCCCCCUUGAACUUUGCGACCUUUUGCCACAUUUCAGGCUUCAAACAUAAAGAUAUAAAACUGUAUUUUUUUGUGAAGAAUCAACAACAAGUGGGACACAAUCAUGAAGUGGAACGACAUUUAUUGGAUAUUUCAAACUUUUUUAACAAAUCAAAAACUGAAAAAUUGGCCGUGCAAAAUUAUUCAGCCCCCUUAAGUUAAUACUUUGUAGCGUCACCUUUUGCUGCGAUUACAGCUGUAAGU